rnacentral:rRNA from 1 species
UACGGAGGAUCCAAGCGUUAUCCGGAUUUAUUGGGUUUAAAGGGUGCGUAGGUGGGUUGGUAAGUCAGUGGUGAAAUCCCCGAGCUUAACUUGGGAACUGCCAUUGAUACUAUCAGUCUUGAAUACCGUGGAGGUCAGCGGAAUAUGUCAUGUAGCGGUGAAAUGCUUAGAUAUGACAUAGAACACCAAUUGCGAAGGCAGCUGGCUACUCGGAUAUUGACACUGAGGCACGAAAGCGUGGGGAGCGAACAGG